CUGUACAGUUCAGAGUUUGAUCCUGGCUCAGGACGAACGCUGGCGGCGUGCCUAACACAUGCAAGUCGAACGGGGUAAAGAGCUUCGGUUUUUUACUUAGUGGCGAACGGGUGAGUAACGCGUGAGAAACCUGCCUUUCAGUGGGGGACAACAGUUGGAAACGACUGCUAAUACCGCAUAACGUAUCGAGGGGGCAUCCUCUUGAUACCAAAGCUUUAUGUGCUGAAAGAUGGUCUCGCGUCUGAUUAGCUAGAUGGCGGGGUAACGGCCCACCAUGGCGACGAUCAGUAGCCGGUCUGAGAGGAUGAACGGCCACAUUGGGACUGAGAUACGGCCCAG
rnacentral:rRNA from 1 species